UCUUACCACUGCUGGUUUUGGCAGAAACGAGCGUCCGAUUCAGAGCGGGGUGCCACUGCGGGUUAUUUUAGCUGGUUUUAGAGCCUGGCCCGGUGCAUAAGAAUCUCGCAGAAGAAGACUGGGGUGAGCGACGGGGUAUCACAUGGCUCAUACUUUGGCGCGCUUUCUGCGUCUCUGAGAAUAGCUCCAUGACGUCACCAAAGAGGCCGGAGGGAGGAACUGGAACGUUUAGGUGCGGCCUACGGUCUGCGUCUUUCAGGACAGCUAGGGUAAGCCAUAGGUGCCUGUAAAGAUGACCAUGAGCUCCGUGAAACAGCUGAGCAGAGCGCUUAGUAGCAAUCAGCGCGAAAUCAGUUGCCGCGUGCAGAUCCUGAUGACGUCAGCGCUACUGUGCCGCCGUUUGCCUGAAAUACCUUGAGUAUUGCCCUGGCAUGAAGAGCAGAAGCUGCACUCGCUCUUUCUAGACUGUGGUCCGGACCAAAAGCAGAGGGAGACGAGCACAGGUGUGUGGUAACAGUCUCCUAGACGGGGGGAGGGUUUCCGUCCCGUCCACGUGCGUGAUAUGGCCUUCGUAGCAGAGUGGGUGCGCGCCGAUUGGGGUGCAGCCCACGAUUUCACCACGAGCUCUUGCAUGCCUAAAUGCCAUCUGGUAGCAGCUCGACUGGAGGAGCCACGAGUCUAGUUACCUAUCACAGGCUCGUCAUGUGCGUUGCAAGCGAGACUCAGCUCCGUGACGACCUUUCCGCAGACCCUGACGAGCUUCUCCUGGAGGUCUCAGGGCCCUCUUGGUCGGGGCGGUCCCACUGAGAGGCCCAAACCUUUUUCGACGUCGAAGCGACAUGGAGUCGUUCUCCUCGCCAGCUCCGAAGAGGACGAAGUUCGCGGAAGCUAUAGUCCACCACGCCGACGUCAAACUCGUCUUCGGGCGGGGGAGGGCCCACCAGCGGCUCGCUGGCGGCAGUGGGCCUCAUUCCCGCCGUCCUCCGAGCCACUCUGGCUCUGAGGGAGCGCACUGGCAGCUCGGUACAGUGGGCGCAAGUGUGGUCCGUCUGAGAAUCCCAGGCAGGUCACACAGAACUGGUGAAGGUCCGAAUCUAGCAUUAGCAGCCAUCGGAUGCGGAGAGGAAAAACAGGGUGAGUAGUCCUCUAUUGCAACUUCCACGAUGACUUAGAUAAGACUUCUAGCGUGAAGAAAGAGAUUCUGACGUAAUUUUCGCGCCCAUGCAUUUUAUACUGCACGCUUACCCGCCAGUAUUUGCAUGCUUCGCGUCAAUUGGCCAGCUGUCCCCAGCUGGCGUUAGCCAAUAAGAUUUCAGUGAAAGUGGAGAAGGGAAGAGUUCCCAUAUACGUCUUAGCUGACGUAAUGUUGAGUUACCGCCUCGAGAGGGAACUUCUCUCUAGAGUUGCGUCUUGGCUAUUAACUAUUUAUUUGGAUGAGCUAUUCCUUCAUGUUUUGAUGUGGAACGCUCUGUGUUCUUCAUCAGCUGUUGAGAAUCACCCCGGCGGAGAGGAGCAGAGAAUAUGUGCUGCUUUCCUUCCUGGAGCACCAGAGCUGUGAGUGCAGGCCCAGGCGACACCACCUGAGAAAUCAGCACAGGAGGAGGCGGAAGGGCAAACGCAGGAGGAGACGGAGAGGAAGGAUGAGGAUUGAGACACAGCCGGGAUAUGAUGAUCACUAUGGCAAAUAGGCACAGACUCCAUUCAUCACACAAGCACUUCUGGACUUUGGAUCAGGAUCAGCACAAAAGCCGGCUUCUAGCGAUCAACACAUCUGUGUUUAUACUGACAGUACUGGAUCACAGAUUGUCUUUGAGAAACCAGUCAAUAACGCUGCUAAACUGAAGGAAACAGGCUUUAUCAGUGAGCAAAUGUGAAAUACCUCAGUGCUGCUAUACAAUUAACUCAACAGUCUGGGACAUUUACAAUAAAAUUAUAUAAACAACACAAUGUAUGUUCAUAUCCCCAUUAUGUGUCUUAAUGUAUUUUAUAAAACAAUAAACUCACAGUAUUUAAAGAAAUAAAACUAUUUGUUUUAUUUUGUUAGAAUGGAGUGUGUGAGUUUUCUGUGCAUG